rnacentral:rRNA from 1 species
GACGAACGCUGGCGGCGCGCUUAACACAUGCAAGUCGAGCGAGAACCAGGGCUUCGGCCCUGGGGACAGCGGCGAACGGGUGAGUAACACGUGGAUAACCUGCCCUCGGCACCGGGAUAGCCCGGGGAAACUCGGAUUAAUACCGGAUAGCCCACCUGGCUUUCGGGCCGGCUGGAAAAGGUAGCUUCGGCCUCUGGCCGAGGAUGGGUCCGCGGCGGAUUAGCUUGUUGGUGGGGUAACGGCCUACCAAGGCUCCGAUCCGUAGCUGGUCUGAGAGGACGAUCAGCCACACUGGGACUGAGACACGGCCCAGACUCCUACGGGAGGCAGCAGUGGGGAAUCUUGCCCAAUGGGCGAAAGCCUGAGGCAGCGACGCCGCGUGAGGGAGGAAGGCCUUCGGGUUGUAAACCUCUUUCAGGAGGGACGAAGCUACUCGGGUUAAUAGCCCAGAGGGUGACGGUACCUCCAGAAGAAGCCCCGGCUAACUACGUGC